rnacentral:lncRNA from 1 species
AGGAAGGCGACUAAGGAAGGCGAGUAAUUGAGGAAAAUGAUGGAAACGAGAGUAAGAGCGUGAGAGGUGAUGACAUGGCAAGACAAAGUAAGGACGGGGCCAGGGACAACAGAGCACUAUCUUUAUCUAUCUACAUAGCAAAGGCAAAAUGGGGGAAUCAAGACAGCGUGAAAGAUCUCAAAGGCCACAAGAACUUGUGGCUCAGAAUGUUUU